AUGGUAGCACAGGAAAAGCUCAGCAGGAGCAGCAGGACAUUGGACACUGUCCCCCACAUCAGUGGCUGGUGGCUUCCCCUCUGCUGCCUCCUCCUUGGUGGAACCUGGCUGCUGGAUGCACUGAGAGCUGGCAAGGGCUUGGUGCUGGUGAUGAGUGGGAGGAUGGGCAGGAAAAGGCUCCGUGAACCCUCCUGGAGGGGUGUGGGCAGGAAAAGGCUCCGUGAACCCCCCUGGAGGGGUGUGGGCAGGAAAAGGCUCCGUGAACCCUCCUGGAGGGGUGUGGGCAGGAAAAGGCUCUGUGAACCCUCCUGGAGGGGUGUGGGCAGGAAAAGGCUCUGUGAACCCUCCUGGAGGGGUGUGGGCAGGAAAAGGCUCUGUGAACCCUCCUGGAGGGGUGUGGGCAGGAAAAGGCUCUGUGAACCCUCCUGGAGGGGUGUGGGCAGGAAAAGGCUCUGUGAACCCUCCUGGAGGGGUGUGGGCAGGAAAAGGCUCUGUGAACCCUCCUGGAGGGGUGUGGGCAGGAAAAGGCUCUGUGAACCCUCCUGGAGGGGUGUGGGCAGGAAAAGGCUCUGUGAACCCUCCUGGAGGGGUGUGGGCAGGAAAAGGCUCUGUGAACCCUCCUGGAGGGGUGUGGGCAGGAAAAGGCUCUGUGAACCCUCCUGGAGGGGUGUGGGCAGGAAAAGGCUCUGUGAACCCUCCUGGAGGGGUGUGGGCAGGAAAAGGCUCUGUGAACCCUCCUGGAGGGGUGUGGGCAGGAAAAGGCUCUGUGAACCCUCCUGGAGGGGUGUGGGCAGGAAAAGGCUCUGUGAACCCUCCUGGAGGGGUGUGGGCAGGAAAAGGCUCUGUGAACCCUCCUGGAGGGGUGUGGGCAGGAAAAGGCUCUGUGAACCCUCCUGGAGGGGUGUGGGCAGGAAAAGGCUCUGUGAACCCUCCUGGAGGGGUGUGGGCAGGAAAAGGCUCUGUGAACCCUCCUGGAGGGGUGUGGGCAGGAAAAGGCUCUGUGAACCCUCCUGGAGGGGUGUGGGCAGGAAAAGGCUCCGUGAACCCUCCUGGGGGGCUCUGGGCAGGAAAAGGCUCUGUGAACCCCCCUGGAGGGCUCUGGGCAGGAGCCUGGCACUUCCCACCCUACACCCAGCUCCUCUUCUCUCGGCAAGAUCCAGCCUCGUGUCUCAUGGAGUGAACCCCACUCUGCAGCCUUGUCCUCAGUGA
rnacentral:lncRNA from 1 species